rnacentral:rRNA from 1 species
UUGCGGUUAAAAAGCUCGUAGUUGGAUCUCGGCAAGUAGAGGGCGGUAUGCUUCGUAGCAUUACUGCCCUAUUACUUGUAGUUUUGCCAGAGGUUCCUGGGUGCUCUUAAUCGAGUGUCUAGGGAUGCUGGCAGGUUUACUUUGAAAAAAUUAGAGUGCUCAAAGCAGGCUAUUACGCUUGAAUAUUCGUGCAUGGAAUAAUAGAAUAGGAAGUUGUUUCUAUUUUGUUGGUUUUCGGAAAUCGACUUAAUGAUUAAUAGGGACAGUCGGGGGCAUUUGUAUUCAAACGACAGAGGUGAAAUUCUUGGACCGUUUGAAGACAAACUACUGCGAAAGCAUUUGCCAAGAAUGUUUUCAUUAAUCAAGAACGAAAGUUAGAGGUUCGAAGGCGAUUAGAUACCGCCCUAGUUCUAACCAUAAACGAUGCCAGCUAGCGAUCUGAGGACGUUUUUUUUGUAGACUCCUCAGGAAGCUUCCGGGAAACCAAAGCGUGUGGGUUCCGGGGGAAGUAUGGUUGCAAAGCUGAA